rnacentral:rRNA from 1 species
GACGGAAGGUGCAAGCGUUGCUCGGAAUCACUGGGCGUAAAGGGUGCGUAGGCGGCCGUGCAAGUCUGGCGUGAAAGCCCCGGGCUCAGCCCGGGAAGUGCGCUCGAAACUGCGCGGCUCGAGUGCCGGAGGGGAGAGUGGAAUUCCUGGUGUAGCGGUGAAAUGCGUAGAUAUCAGGAGGAACACCUGCGGUGUAGACGGCUUUCUGGACCAUUGCUGACGCUGAGACACGAAAGCGUGGGUAGCAAGCAGG